UAUAUAUAUAUAUAUACAAUGAAAAAUGCAAGACUGUUGUACACAAAAACCAGAUGUGUUACAAAUGUAUUUGUACUCAAAAUAUGUUUGUGAAUUAAUGUCAAUCUGACUCAGACUCUGCUCAUGUCAAGAAUGAAAAUACUUUUCUCCAUUGUAGAGUCUGUAUAUUGCAUUUGCAUAACCUAAUUUAUUUUUAGCAUAAAAUUAAUGGGUAUAUAAAAAAACCAAAACAUCCAACAACUUGCAUGCAUUUCAGCCUAUUAUAUAAGACAGAAUUACUCUCGAUGUAAUUGUACAAUUUAUUCAACACACAAAAUUACUCAAUUAUCAGGCACAUUUUGAAUAUAUUAAUCUUCCUUCAGUACAUUACUUAUUUGCGAAAACAUCCACAAAUAACAGAAGAAAAUCCUACACCACCAUUCUUAAUUCAGAGAGUUUGUAUUAAGUCGAAUGUGACCUUAACUUACUUUCAACUUAUACAUAAUGUGCCAUUUUUAGUGUCACAUACAAUUGAAAUUAUUUUAUUACAAUUUUUGUUUUUUUUUCAAAAGAAAAAACACUGAUUAAUGACAUAAAUAAAAGAAUGUGCCUGUUGAGAGUUAGAACUUACUACAACUAGGUAGUAAUACAUCUCACUUCACAGCUAUAAUGUAGGUGGUUAGGGUGAGACUUAAUGACUUGGAAGCCAGUUGGCUAAAAGUGCUGUAUAUAAGUACUUGAUGUGGCUUUAACUACCUCCAUACGCUUUUUUCUUUCUUUUAGAUGUCACUAAAACUACAAAAUAGGCCAUCAUUUAAGUUUGAGACACACAUAUGAUGCAGUAUAAAUGUUUUGAAAUUACAAUUUGAAUUGUUAAGCCAGUUCUAGAUGCCCAGGGUACUUUAAUACAUUUUAACAUUGACCCUACUGUGUUUGAAUAUACACAUUUUAUACCACUGUCCCUAUAUC